GACGAACGCUGGCGGCGUGCCUAAUACAUGCAAGUUGAGCGCUGAAGGUUGGUACUUGUACCAACUGGAUGAGCAGCGCACGGGUGAGUAACGCGUGGGGAAUCUGCCUUUGAGCGGGGGACAACAUUUGGAAACGAAUGCUAAUACCGCAUAAAAACUUUAAACACAAGUUUUAAGUUUGAAAGAUGCAAUUGCAUCACUCAAAGAUGAUCCCGCGUUGUAUUAGCUAGUUGGUGAGGUAAAGGCUCACCAAGGCGAUGAUACAUAGCCGACCUGAGAGGGUGAUCGGCCACAUUGGGACUGUGACACGGCCCAAACACCCACGGGAGGCAGCAGUAGGGAAACUUCGGCAAUGGGCGAAAGUCUGACCGAGCAACGCCGCGUGAGUAAAGAGGGGUUUCGGGUCGUAAAACUCUGUUGGUAGGGAAGAACGUUGGUGAGAGUGGAAAGCUCAGCAAGUGACGGUAACUACCCAGAAAGGGACGGCUAACUACGUG
rnacentral:rRNA from 1 species